AGAGUUUGAUCAUGGCUCAGGAUGAACGCUAGCGGAAGGCUUAAUACAUGCAAGUCGAGCGGUAGGUGGCUUCGGCCAUUGAGAGCGGCGCACGGGUGAGUAACGCGUACAUGACCUGCCUGUCAGAAGGGAUAGCCCUGGGAAACUGGGAUUAAUACCCUAUGGUAUUGAUAUUAUGAAUGAUAUCAAUUAAAGUUGAGGCGCUGACAGAUGGAUGUGCGUCUGAUUAGCUAGUUGGUAGGGUAACGGCCUACCAAGGCGACGAUCAGUAGGGGCGUGAGAGCGUGGUCCCCCACACGGGUACUGAGACACGGACCCGACUCCUACGGGAGGCAGCAGUAAGGAAUAUUGGUCAAUGCCCGCAAGGGUGAACCAGCCAUUCCGCGUGGAGGAUGAAGGCCCUAUGGGUUGUAAACUUCUUUUAGAUGGGAAGAAAAUGCUAGAUGUAUCUGGUACUGACGGUACCAUCAGAAUAAGCACCGGCUAACUCCGUG
rnacentral:rRNA from 1 species